rnacentral:ribozyme from 1 species
CCCUUUAUAUCAAGUAAUUGGUAUAAACGCUACGUUAAUUGCUUUGAAGCCCUAAAGCCUAGCCACCGAAACAGUAGUUGGAAACGACAAGCUGCCUGGUGCGAAAGCAGAAAAAAUCGCUAGGAUGAUAUAUGGUCAAUAACCUAAGUAUUUUAGAUAAUGGGUCUUUAGCAGGGAAUGCCCUAAGUACAAAGAUUGUAUAAGGGAAACCUUCAACGACUAUUCUCUCGAGGAGAAGUAAAGCCACAAGCCAAGGGUGGAAGAAAAAUGUAGCGCCAAUUUACCUAAAAUGGGAGAAUUGGCUGAAGAAAUAGUCUCAACUAAUAUGAAAAUAUUAG